ensembl:lncRNA
CCUCCCUUCCUGUCUCUUUUCCCCACUUCUUGCUCUCUCAAAACCUAAAAGGACAUUUAAUUCAGUCCCUCUUUUUAUAGGAGAAAUUAACUGACUCACCCAAGUACUGUCAAAAUGACACCAUUUCAGAAUAAUUAUUAUGAACACUUAUUGGCACAGAGAUGGCAUCAUAAAUGUCGAAGAGGAAAUAAACAUUUAUAUAGUGCUUACUGUAUGCCAGGCAUUAUGCUAAGCAACUUACAAAUAUUAUGUCAUUUGAUCUCCACAACAACCCUACAAAGUAAGUGUCAUUUUUCAUCCCCAUUUUACAAUGGAGAAAAUGGAGGCAAACAUUAGUGACUUACCCAUGUGACCAUGGUUAAUAAGUGUCUGAGAAUAGAUUUCAACUAAGUUUCUUCCAGCAAGAGGCUUGGAUUUCUUUGUCUCCUCACUCAUGAAAGGUCAAGAGAUCUGCUCUGGCAGGACUGACCUUGUACCUGUCCUAUUUGGUCGAUUUUCUACCAUAUCUCUGCUACUAAAUUGUGUAUAUGUGAUUAACUCCUCCUUCAGAGGCCAAAACAUGGAAAGAUAAUUCUGGAUAUAUGUAAUUAUGGCUUACUUGAGUUCCAGUUUACUGAAAUUUUACCCUCUGGAUAUAGCCCAGAAAUUCUAUUAACAACCAUUUCCAUGAAAACAUAGUUUGAUCAAAUGAUAUAUGAGGCAUUUGGUUCAAUAGCAAUAAUGUCAAAUUCAAAAUUCAUUUCUAAUAUACCAAAAUUUACACUAAAACUUAAAAUAGAAAAAAAGGAGAUGAAAUAAAUUUUACCUAACUGGAAAAGGGGGAAAGCUCCCCUGAAGCAAGCCCCAAAACUGUUUUUUGCUUAGUUGACCUUGUUGCUCUACAUCAGAGGGCAAAAAAUUCUCCAAGAUCAAGGUGAAAAGAUAUUAAUCAUAGAAGAUAUUUGUUUCCUUAAAGUUUAUGAUAUAUUACCAUUUUUAAUUGAAAAUAGAUUUAAUUAAUAUUAAAUGACUCAUACCUAUAAUUCAAUCAACUAUUCCACCAAUUUGAGUCAGCCAUUUAAAUGUCAAAAAAGGUGAGAAAAAUAAGGCUACACACACACACACACACACACACACCACACACAGACUCAUACUUUUUUUUCCUAUUCCUACAUUGUUGUAUUCAUUGUCCAGGUUACAGAAAUACUCGGAAAAAAACGCUAAAGAAAUUUAUUGUUUUUAAAGGAGUCACUAAAUUCCAUCCUAUAUUUCAGAAAUCUUCACUAUUUUUAAAUAACAGUGAGACAAAUAUUCAUCAAUACACUUUGACAAACUAUUUCUGUUAUAGAACUGAAAUCCCACUUCAUCGCUUUAGUUUGACUUGGGCUUGUCCCUAGAUUACCAAAGGCAAUGCUGUAGGAAUACUUCAGCAAAUCCUACCAUGCUGAAAAGGCUUUAUGUGUGGGCCUAACAACAAUCUACUUGUCUGCAUUUAAGGAUCAGCCUAGCUAAAUUCAAGAAGAUUCGAUUCUGGCAAUAUGGAUACCAUGUGGUGCUUUGUAGAUGGGGGAAGUAAUCACAGAAAGUCAUGAAUAAUAAGAUAUACAAAGAUGGUGGGAAUCCCAUUGUUUGAGGGGGUGCCCAUUUACCCCCACAAGAAAUCACAGCUUUUUUUUUUUUUUAAGGGAAUGAAAAGAGUAAAUAUUCUAGCGAGAAGGGAAUUACCCAUUUUGUACUGAACAACAACAGCUUUAUUAAUAUUUUUAAUUUUCUGUUUCCCCAUCCCUGAAAAGCCUUUUUUAAAACUAUGCCCCACUGGAGAUAUCAGCAGCUGAAUUCCUCAUGCUGAAAGUAUAUGACACCACAAUGGGCUCACUGCCAUAUUUUAUAGCAAGCUAUCACCCGUGGAUUUGAAAGAAAGCUCUAGCACAGGGAUCAAUAAUCACUUUAUUUCUGAGCAGCAACAGGAGCUAAAGUAAUGACUCUGGAUGCCUCUCACCAGUUUAAAGCAUUAAUGAGGAAAAGAAAGGAAAUAAAAAAGCAGACUGAGAGAUGGGAGACACAGAAGAACAGGAAGACAGAGACCAAAUAGAAAUAAGGCUAUUAUGGUAAGCUAGAGGAAACAUAAGCGUGUAAAUAUAUAUAUAAUAAGAUAUAAUCUACUAUGAUCUGAGGUGCCAUUGAGGAGGGAGGGCUAGAAGAUGCCCUCCUGCUCCACCUGAAUAAGUCAAUAAAACACUAAAAUAAUCCACCCCAGUUUGGGUGACAUGAUAAGUGGGCAUGAGUGAAAUUAAAUUUCUUGACAACAUACAAAUCAACAAAUAUUUGACUGUUGAUUUCAUCUCUCUUAAGAUGAAAUAUGACAAUGUAAGUAUUUGGGGAGCCAUCCUGGAUACAAUUCAAUUCAAUCAAUAUUCUGCAUCUAUCACUGUGUGCAAAGAGCUAUGAAUAUCAAUCAGCAGGAAGACAAGAUAUUCUUUAGAAGCACAUUGGAUUGGGUUUCAGAAAAUGGGGGUUAAAAUUGCAAGCUUGAGUCCUUUUGUUUUGUCAUUGUUGUCUUCCAAAACAAAUUCGCUUCAUAGAAUCUGCCCUCCUCUAAAUUAUGUUGUAGUGGAAAGAUAGCCAGAAAAUGCUGGAUUCAAAUCCAUCCUCCAACAUGCUGCCCAUGUCGGGCUGCCUGGGUAAACGCCAUGACUUCUGAAUGUCCAGUAGAGAAGAUGCUACUUCACUUUUGUAGGGGGAGCUCCCUAUACUUCCAAUCAUAGCUCCAUCCUCUUUCCUUUUCCCACCAUCUUUCUCUACUAGAAAUCACGACCCAUUUUUCCAUCCUUUCCUCCACUCAAUUUUUUUGCAUAAGCUAAUUCAUCUGUCUACUUUCAAUACCUCAUUCUAAUAGUGAUUAUCCUACAAUGAUCAUUACACUUCUAGUGGCUCUUGACCAUUUGAUUACAGACAUACUAAAGUCUCACCAGUGCCUUUCAUAACUUUUCUUACACUUCUCUCCCACUCAGAUGCUAUCCCAUCUCCCUCCUCCCCCUGGAAGCCAAUCCUUAGUCCAAAGUCUUUUCUCCCCUGUCUCUCCACUAUCUUGUUAGCCAGUCUUCUGUACCCCAAUAAGUCACUUCUUUCUCUGAAAUGUAGAUUUAUCAUGGGGAGAAGAAAAUAAUGUCAGAUGUGCCCUUCUUAUGGCUCUCUUGGUCCAAUGAAAAGUACUUUACAUACCAUGGUAAGGAAAGAGACGUGUUCCACUAACCUAUAAGACAAAGUAUAUUAAUGUAGGGAAGUACCUAAAAAAGGUCAAAAAUACUAAAAGAUGAGGAAAAAUAAAAGAUCAAAGGGAAGAAUGAUCACCUCUGCUGGAGAAUUCUCAGAAUAUUCUCCAUGAAUAUAAUAUGGUAGUGCAAAUGUUUCGGGCCUCAGAUCAUUGACCAAGUAGCAGAAUUUAUUUCUUCUAUUCUAUUGCUGUCAUAUUGUUCAGUUAAGUAUGCUGGCCUCAAGACAGCAGAUUAAGGCUUCUAAUGAGCCAGUUGCUCAUAUGGCAAAAUGAGUUUCUGAAGAGCAGGAGGCAAGUCAACUCCCCUCCCUGAAACUAAAACAAACAAACCCACUUGUACCCACAUGUCCUCACUGAGAAAUUCAUCUUUUCAACAGGCUAAAAGUUCCCAAUUUAACAAUAUUUUCUCCUUUUGAAUUUGAAUCAGAGCCUGAUGUUGGCUCUGCAAUUUAACAAAGUCUGGACCAGACACUACAAAUGCAUAAAUUUCUUUGUGUUAGUACACUGGCUACUUAUUGAGGCUUUAGGGACUUGGGUUAGUACAUUGGUCAUUUAUGUAGGCUCUAGUGACUUUUUCCCCCCAAGAGCUCCCUGAACCAAUGAUUCCCUAAUUGAGAACAGAACAAAGAUCCAAAAAGGUUCAGUGUAGCUUUCAAAGUACUCGGCUCUCAGUUUGCAAAAGAACACAAUCUCUAUUUAAUCAUUAACUUGCUGGCAGGUUACUCUGGCAUGGUGCUGACCUAAAGCACCAGAAGACCAACUGGGACGGGAAUGAACCCUUAGAAGUCCUGCACUUGGGCUUCAUAGAUAGAUUUCAGGGAGACCAUGAACUUAUGGCCAAAACUAUAUCUUGAUUUCAGUGGAAUGGCUUUCCUUUUGCCCAUCCUUUCUGAAAUGAUUUGAUUCACCCAGAAACAUGUCACCUAAAGACAAUAAUCACAGAAUCAGAGGAUUUGCUAAGUCUCCAUUUCUUCUGGUAAUAAAAACUCUAUGAGAAUGGGCUUCUUCAUGGCCUCCUUUGGGAAACCUCUGGGUCCCUGCUCAGAAUUAUGCAUUCAAAUAACUAAACAAAAUGCUCUAUUUCACUUAGAAGUUAAAGAAGUAAAAAUAGCAUUUUUUCCUAUCCCAGUUCCUGGAACCCUUGAGGAUCCCUAAGAAUCUCUGACCUACCAUAUCCCAAAGUGGUUAAAUAAAAAGCAAAAGGGCCUAUUUGUAUAAAAAUAUUUGUAACCAUUAUUUUGUGGUAGUAAAGAACUGAAAAUCGAGGGGUUGUCCAUUAUCUGAAGAAUGACUAAACAAGUUGUGGUUUGAUUGUGAUGCAAUAUUAUUGUGCUAUAAAAAAUUAUCAGCAGAAUUGUUUCAGAAAAAUGUGGGAAGACAUUAACUCAUACAAAGUGAAGUGAGGAGAACCAGGAGAACACUGUACACAGUAAUAGCUCUAUUGUAAGGAUGUUCUACUAUGAAAGACUUAGCUGAUCAAGACAAUGCUAUCUUCAGAGAGAACUCUAAAUGCAAACUGAAAAAGAUUUCUUUUUACCUUUUUUUUUGUUUGUUUGUUUUGCUUUUUGCAACAUAGCUACUAUGGAAAAUGUUUUUCAUAACUUGACAGGUAUAAUCAAUAUCAAUUUGAUGACUUUGUCAAAGCAGGGGGAAAGAUGGAAAGAUUUUGAAACUCAAAAUGUUUAAAAAUAAAAAAUGACUGCUACAAUUUUUUACAUGUGUAAAAAGGUAAUAUUAAAGAAAAUAGAUAAAAAGAAUUUUUUUAAAAAUCUCUGACCUAGUCAGACUUCCAUAUUCUAUAGAUUUGGAAACUGUUGUAUCUAUUAGGCAACAAAUAAGUGUUGGAUGUGUAAUGCUUCAUAUAUGACCAAGAAUUAUAGACACGGAUGUCCAUUGGUCAGACGGCUAAGUGGUGCAAGGGAGAGAACCCAGGAUCUGAAGUCAGGAAGACCCAAGUUCAACUAUAGCCUUAGACAUGUUAUGAACCAUGGCAAAUCAUUAACAUCUGUUUACCUCAGUUUCAUCACCAAAAAAAUAAAAUAAUAAAUCCUUUUCAUUUACUAAAAUAGGGAUAAUAAUCAUGCUUACUUCUCAGAAUUAUUCUAAUGAAGAGAUAAUAAAAGGGGUGAUAUUUGCAAAGCACUCUGUAAACCUGAAAGUGUUCUGUAAAUAAAAAAUUUUAUUGUUAUGGAUUGUGUCCACGCAUCUAUCUUCUUUCAUGAAAAAUAGAAACUCUCUACAUAGAUUGAAAAAAGUUAUAUUGUGUCUAUUGCCACUAAUUUAACCAAAAGUAAAUAGUGUAAAUGGGUUCAAGGCUCAUAAGAACUACAAUGUGUGCUAAGUUUUAGAAUAUAUUCAUAUCAAUAAAUUAAUCAAUAAGUAUUGAUUGGAGGCCUUCUGUGUUGCAGGGACUGUGCUAAGCACUAAGAAUCUAACUGCAGAAAAAUGAACAAUACCAAAUCACAGGGAGCUGACCUUCCAAGGGGGAAGAUGCCAAGGACAUUUUGAAGUAUAAGCAGAAGAAAUCGAAUAAAGAGAAAAAAUAUAUAUAAAGUAGUUCAUUCAAGGCAGCUUGGGAGGAGGAGUUCUAACAUUUGGGGGAUCAAGAAAGGCUUUGUGUAGACCACAGGUUCUUAACCUUGAACCCAAAAACUUUUAUUAGCAAAAUUGAAAAUUGUGUUUAAUAUAAUUGGCAUCCCUUCUAAUCCUUUGAAUUUUAUUUCAUGCUUUUGAAAAUAUUAUUCUGAUAAGAUGCCACCAGAGUGCUAAAGGGGUUCAAUUCAUAUAAGAAGUUCUUAACCUCCAUAGUGAAGGAAGAGAAGGAUUCUAUGAGGCAGAAGUAAGGAGGGAGAAUACUAUACCCAUGAGGAUGGUCACACAUAGAGAUGGGAAGCAGGAGAUAUAGUGGGGAAAAAACAGAGAUCACUUGAUCUAGACUAUAGUGUGUUAAAGAGUACUAAUAAUGUACAAUUGGAAAGAAAGAUGCAGAAAAGAAAAAGAAGGCCUUUAAAAACUAAACAAGGGAGUGUGAUUUUAUUUUAGAGGCAACAAGAAGGUACUGGGAGGGAGGGACCCUAAACCAAUGUUUCAGAAACAUUUGAGUCUCAGGACCCCUUUAAAUUCUUAAAAUUUACUAAGGGCCCCUAAGAGCUUUUGUUUAUGUAGAAUGAAUCUAUUGAUAUUUAUUUUAUUAAAAACUAAAAUUCUUAUAAUUUAAAAUAUUUUUUGAUUAAUACAUUUAUAAUAUUAACAAGUCCACUAUAUGUUAACAUGUGACAUGAUUUAAUUAAAAAUAUUUUUUCUAAAAAAAAAUGUGAGAAGAGUGAAAUUGUUUUAAAUAUUUUACGAUGUCUCUAAAAGAAGAGAAUAUUUAUAUUCACCAGCUGUGUCAAAAGCAGGCCUUUCCACAAGGGUGGGAUUAUAUUCUUUCAAUUGGUAAGUUUAUUGUUUAUUUCUUGAAAUUUCCAAAAUGAGGCUAUUGGAGCUGUAGCAAUUUAUUGUCUAAGCUGGUGUUCUGAUAAUGGCAUAUGAAAAAAAAAAAGAUCUGACAAAUUAACAUACAAGGCAUCAGACAUAUCAUACUCAACAGAUGCUCUAUAGUACUUGAUUUCGCUUCAUUUUUAUGGGCUGCCAAAACUAAAAACAUUGACAAACUGAUAUAUAUUUACCUAGUCUGGUUAUUAACAGAAUAGUCUCAUCCUCGAUGCUUUCCCAGUUAAAUAGGAAAUGGCAGACCUUAAGCUCAGUAUGGAUAAUUAAUAAUAAUAAUCAUGAAGAGGAGGAAGAAGAGGAAGAGAAAGAAAAGAAGGAGGAGGAGGAAGGAGAGGAGGAGAAGGAGGAGGAAAAUAGCUAGCAUUUAUAAAAUUCUUUAAUGUCCAUGCAGCAUUUUACCUGUUAUCUCAUUUAAUUCGCUCAACUAUCAUUUUAUACAUGAUGAAAUGGUGAAUGGGAGUCCUAAUUACUUACCCAGAAUGACAAAGCUGUCAAAUGUCUCUAGCUGCAUUCAAAAUUGGGUCUUCCCUGCUUAGACUUGGUAAGUAUUUCAUCUGCCUCCCUCUCUAGCUUCCUCCCAAUAAGAGCCUUCUAUUUUUCAGGGUGACCUCUCUAUCACAGUGAAAAUCCCAAGUUCCUAAUUUUACAAAAUCAAAAUGUAUUUUCAACUCUUCAGAAAUAUGCCACUGAUUAUUUUGCUUUUUUGUCUCUUUCCUAAUUUCUCUCUCUUGCAUUCUCACAGAAUGACACAGUUAACAUCUGAUUGAUAGAAAUGAAGUUGGUAGGUCCAUAGAUGACCAGACUAUGCUUGCUCUAAUUAUUCAUCAGAGAAUAACCUUACUUAGUUCUCAGCUUAUCUUCUAAAUUGCUGAAUUUUUUUUCUUCUUUCUGUGAAUCAACUAGUUAUUUCUAUUCCCUCCAGUUAGGGUCACUAAUAUUUUAGAAAGCUAUAGUAGCUGGGCCACCAUAGAGGAGAAAAUUAUAUAAAAGUUAAAUAGACGAGCAGAUUAUCAUGUGCUCAAGUUCUGAAUAGCAGAAAAAAAAGGUAAUUUCAGAGUCAUGACAAUUUUCAGAAAAAAAUGAAAAUUGCCACAAUGGGAAUCAAGGUUUGGGAUAAUACUGGAAUAAUUUAAAGAGCAUCAGUGAAAGCUGUUACCCAGAUCAAGGGAGCCACCAAUCCCCACAUUAGGCACUGAUUAGACUCCAGCUAGAGAAUCUUGCUCAGUUUGAGGUUUCACAUUUUAAGAGGGAUGUUGAAAAGACUAGAUAAUAUCCACAAGUUGAAGGGGGUCAUGGAAGCAUAACAUGAAGAAUGGAUGAUGGAAUUAGGGAGGUUUAACCAGUAGGAAAGGUAUUGUAUUUGUAGUCUAAAGACCUCAUGGCCCUACCCUGUGACACCGAACAAAUGUCCUGAACCUCUCCAGACCACAGUUUCCUUUAAAAUGAGAGGGAUUGGCUCAAUGUCACAUUGUAAAAGACUUUAAAUUUCUCAACCUAAAUGGCAUAAUAAAUCGGUAAAUUAUUACUUCUCUGAAAGGUGGGGGCAGGAAGAAAGGGAAAGAAAAAAAGAACAGGACUCAAAUAAUUUAACAUUUUAUUUUAAUAAAUCCCUUAUUGUAGUGCUAGUUGAUAUGUAUAUAUACGUAUAUAUAUUAAAUUUCUGACUUCAAUAAUUGCCACAAGAUGUGUUUUUUUUUAAAUAAUAUAGUCAAUUAAGUUGCAUAAUUGUGUCAGAUCUGACUCAAGAUCUCAAUUUUGCAAGUUCCUACUGGCUGUUCUACACCCCUCACCGAUCCCUCAGAGAAUCCCUCUCUUCCUUUAAGACACAAGGCAAACACGACUUUCUAUAUGUGAAACUUUUUCUGACCUUUUCUCCCAUUCAUCUACUCCCCCCUUCCUCCAUAAAUGCUCAUGUUCAAUUCUCUUAUACUGAUUUCCUUCAUAAGAAAUCGGCAUGAAAACCAGCUAGUUCUCCUGAUACAAUAUAAGUUCCUUGAAGUCAGGGGCAGUUGCAAUUUUUUUCUUAUGCCCAAAUUUGGCACACAAACGAUACAUAAUAAAUGUUUAUUAAUUACAAUGAGUUCUGCCAUUGAAUUAGAACUAUAAAUACACUUGGCUCCUUUUUUUUAAACAUCUGAGUACAAAAUCAUUUCUGCAUUUGCAUUGUUCCAAAUCCACUCGUCACCAUGUACUCCAGUUGUAGGCCAAAAGAUAACAUGAAUACAAAGUCCACGGUUUAGUUUAAAACCCAUCUUUUCUAUGUGGUGACCACAUCACAGGAAUUUCAAUUGCUACUAUGAUGGAGAACACCUAAAAGAUUAAAUACUAAUUGCUGUGAGAGAAGUAGGUAAGUUCCAUAUUUCUAAUUAAAUAUAAUAAGAACUAAAAUAACUACUCUAGAAAAUCCAAUAAAUAGAGCCAAUUAAUUAUGAAGGAAGCUUGUCAUUACUUGACUGCAGCUUAAACAAAAUGGAAUGGUGGGCUUUCAUGUCCUAUUACACCUCAGGGGCCAGGCGUGAAUAUGAACUGAUAACUUUGGGAGAGAAGCUAUUAAACCAACAUUCUGGUUCCAUUUGAACCAUGGCUAAACUCAGUGUUGAAAGCUUCAAUCCACUGUGUCUUUGGCAAUUGCAGAGAGCCUUAGAUCAUGGCUGAAAGUGAAACAUCCAGUCAUUCUCUUCUAUUUUCAGCUCCCUACUCAGCAAUUACUAUAUUCUGAUUGACUCUCACUUGACAUUGUUACCAUCAACCUGGAAAGCAAUACUAUAUAAUCACAAGCCCCAAAGAGCUCCUUUUUGGGGGUUAGAGCAAAUAAAUAAAAAUCAUUCCUUAUAAGAAAAGAGUAAUUAAAAGAAAAUCAACAAGUAUUAACUUAUAUGUACUUUUUAUGUGCAAGUUCAUAUCCUACACCUGUCAAAAUUAAUAUAUUCAUUUUCAAAAUGGUAAUAUAUAAUCAGGCACUGAGGAAUACAAAAGAAAUUUAAUAACUUUUCUACAUGUAACUUUAUGUGAAAUUUUUGCUAUAAAUUCUUUUUUUUAUUCUAAUUUUUCAAGAGGUUUAUAAUUUUAUUUAGGUGGAAGUUCCCUGUAUCAAUGCUGACCUCAAUCCUGAUGUAAUGGAUUACUGUGAUAAAAGAAGGAAAUGAAGGAGGGAGGGAAAGAGGGACAAAAGGAAAAAGGGAAAGAGGGAGAAAGGAAGAGAAAAAGGGAUGGAAGAAGAGAGAGAGGGAGAGAGGGAGGAAGGAAGAGAAAGAGAAAAAGGAGGAAGGGAGAGAGGGAGGGAAAGGAGAGAAGGAGGGUGAGAAAGAAUGAAGGAAGAGAGGGAGGAAGGGAGGGGAAAGGGAGAGAGGGGAGGAAGGAAACAGGGAGGGAGGAGAAGAAAGGAACAGGGAAGGAGGGAAGGAAAGGAACAGGGAGGGAGAGAAGAAAUGGACAAUAAGGAAAGGAGGAAAAGGAAAUAAAAAGGUACUUGAAUCUAUUUUCUGAAUCUAUCACUUUAUCUGAUGAUGGGUAGUAAGGACAGUAUCAUGAGUCUUGAAGAAUUGUGUCAAUCAGUUCCCAAGUCUUCUGGAGUUGAUUAUCUUGACAGUAUUGUUAUCGUAUGAAUUGUUUUCCUGGUUCUGCUCACUUCGAUCUAUAUCAGUUCAUACAAAUCUUCCCAGAUUUUUUUGAUACCAUUCCAUUCAUCUUGUCUUAGAACACAAGAGUUUUCCACUGCUUUCAUAAAAGAUUUAUGCCUAGCCCACCGAGCCUGAAUGACUCGCCUAGGAUCACAAAAUCAGUACACAGCACACAGAACCAGAUCAGAUUCAGGUCUUCUGACUCUCAGAACAGACUCUAUCUGGGAGGCCAUAGUGACCUUCUUCUUACAUUUUUAUUUUUAAAAAUAUAUAAAUUAUUUUAAGUCUCAAAGAAUUCAAAACUUGAAUUUACAAAGAAGCAUUGAUUUUCUAUGACUUAUAAAGAAGUAUACUCUUAAAAUAAUUAUCAAUAUGAAACAUAAUAACUAUAGGUUGAAUGCCUAUUUAGAUUUAACCUCCCCCCAAAAAACAAUUCCCCAAAUGACUUCCAUCAGUUGUUUUCCUCACUUUGUUAUUGUUUUUUCAACCCUCAAAUUAUGUCCUUUUCUUUACAAACAUGAACAUGUAUCAAUCCUAAAGCAAUUACCUUUAGCAAUAUAAGUGAAACAAUAAUAAUAAAAAGACAUAUACUUUCUAAUUUAAAAACGUAUAUGUCCUUGAACUCUAGUCCUAUUUAUAACUAACUACAAACUUUUGGUCCUUUUUCUCAUGUAGUAACUUGGGGAAGUCUCUCUUCAGUAUCCCUAUUUAGCAGGCCAUUUUCUUUGGUAUUGAUGAGUUGGUGACUUCUGGAAGAAAAUUGCCAUUUUCUACCAUAGGAAUGGACAAAUAUUAUCAAAUAUGGUUAUGUAGCUGUGACCUUCCUAUAAAUAGAUUUGAUCCACUGUCACUCUUACACAAAUAUUUUUUCAAGCAUUCCUACAAGUUAGCUUUUCACUUAGCAGCCAACCAUCACAAACUUUAGCAAAAUGAUUUUUCUAUUCAUAUGACUUAAAAUAUAUGGUAAUUCUGAUGCAAUAAAAAUGUUUAAAAGUAUUUGUAUUUUGGAAACUCCAAUAAAAGCAAGCAUCUGGUGUCGGAAGACACAGAAAAUGACAAUAGUUAAUUUCCUGUUCUUCAUAAUAAUAAUAAUGAAAAUGAUACUAAUAAUAAUAAGUAAAAUUAUUUAGCUGUAUUCACAAAUUGAGUUACCUUUAAAUGUACUUGAUGAUAUAAGGCUAGAUAAUGAAGAAAGAUAAUUAGAUAUUUUUCAUAUAAAUUAUUUAAUGUAUUCUUUUUUCAAGGGCCUAGUAGACUAAUAUAAAAGGGUGGGAAUAUUACAAGUAUCUUCAUUACAAACUACUCUAGAUGAAUUUGAAUGAUAGAUCUUUGAUCUCAGGUCUUAAGGCUAGGGCACUCAUGAGUGUUUUCCUCCUGGCAUAGUCAUUAUUUGUGGUUAAGCAAAGGUAUCCCCUAAUUACCAAUCUUCACUCUUUCACAUUAUUCAAUCCAGAAGAUUAUUUGAACUAUUUAGCUUCACACUCAAGUAAUCCUCAGACUGCCAAAUGUCCUUCCCUCAAACUACCAUGUGCCUCAAAAGUGGAGAAUCGAGAUAAUCUGUAGAAAUGUCUCCUCUCCUUCCUUUGUUAAGGAAGAUGCCCAUUAUUAGCUGUUGAUGAGCCAUUUUAUUUCCUUACUCUAGAUGUUAUUAAAUAUAGUUUUAUGAAGGGGAAGUCACUUUUGAGAGACUUUGAGCUAGAUUGCCAAAUGUUUUAAAGCAUAAACUUGGGGCAACAAUCUCGUUUGGAAGACAGAAGGCUUAACUGACUUUUCUGCUGACAUUUGAGAACAAACACUAUUUCAAGCCUUUAAAUAAAGCAGAAUCUCCAGUUCGGGAGAUCAGGAGUACAUAUUUUUAAACCAGAAAGUAUAUUUCUUUUUGUUAUUAUUAUUGUUUCACUGAUAUUGCUAAAGAUUCUAUUUGUUUGCAAGAAGCUGUCACACAAAGAUAAGUUUCUUAGGAAAUCCAAGACACACAGAAUGAUAAAUCUAAUAAAAAUGGAACUCCAAAGAAAGAUGCAUAGGAUUGCCUUGCAAAGCCAUGCAUGGCUUUCCAUAGCAAUUUGUGAUAGAAUCUAAUAUGUAUUUCUCUCCAUAUGUUUUGAGGCCACUUUUGUCUUCUAGAAGCUCAUCAGCACCAAAGAAAAUGACCUGCUAAAUAGGAACACUGAAGAUACAGUUGCCCAAGUUACAUCAUGAAUAAAAAGAACUAAAAGCUUAUAGCUAAUUGUAAACAAAUAAAUGAAUAAAUGAAUGAAUGACUAUGUAAAUAUAUGAAUGAAUGAAUAUGUAAAUAUAUGAAUGAAUGAAUGAACAGAAAAGAGAUCAACUGCAAAAAUCACAUGCUUGGAGACCAGCAUUUGAAAAUAAUGCUCUGAUUAAGAAUAAAUUGAUUAGUUACUAUUUGCUCUUUAGAAACUACUUCAAGAAGAGUAAUACAAAGUCAAGUCGGUGUUCUAUUAUUAUUCAUUAUUAAUUAUUCUAGACUUUACUCACAAUACUUUCAUGGAGACUCUUCAUGUAUGUAUUACAAUAUACCUCUGUUUUCAAUCCUGACUCACUCUAGGUUUUAAUCUUACCCAGUUGUGGAGAACACUACAAGAUAUUUUCUAAUGGCACCUAAUUUUUCUUUUGGUCCUCAUUUGUAUGAUUCUAAUAGAUUUAUCUAGACUUUUUUAACUUAAAUUUUUAAUUUGAAAAAUCACAUUUUUUCUUAAAUUCUUCAUUUAAAAGUUAACCAUCAUUUUUUAAAUAUUUUUCAUGUUAUGUCCAUACUUUAUAAAAAGCAAUAAAGUAAUGUAAUUUAUAUCUAUAUAUAUAUAUAUAUAUUUUACAUCUACAAAUUAUGUUAUCAAAUUAUUUUACUUGUCCUACUUGCUAUUAACUAUCUCAAUAGUAAAAUGUGGGUAAGCAAUUUUGGAGUUGGUAUAUUAAAAAAGAACUACUCUUAGUAAAAAUAAGUUAUGAAAUUCCCCCUUAACAACGAGUAUUACAAAAAGGGCUUCCUUUUGUUUCAUGUAUUAGAAUGAAUUUUGAUAAUGGAAUUCAACUUCCACCUCAUGGAAAGGGAACCUAUCAAACUUACACUAUUAAAAUAGAAGUAAAAAUAGAAUGGUAUUCUGGAUAAUCUGGAAUUAAAAUAGAAGAAAUGAAUUCAAGGCUAAACAUCUAAGAUAUAGGAUAUCUGACCCAGGACAGUUAGUUACUUGACCUUUCUAUAUCCCCAAUCAUUGAGAAGUAAUAGGUAAUAUAUAAACUAUAACAAUAGGUCCCAGUUAAGUUCUAAGAUUUGCCUAUUGAGUCCCUUCUGAAUCAGGUCCAGUUAAAAACAUCUCACUCAUUUCCUUUAUAAUUGCUUAUAAAUUGCCUUCUUGUGAUUAAAAAGACACAAAUUAGAAUUGAUUUAUUUGCCAAGUACAAUGGUAGUUCUGUAUUUUUGUAUUCUGGCUAAGACCUUGAUGUUAUUUAGUAAUCUUCCUGGAUUUUUUCCUCAUGUUUUACAAACAACAUCUUACCAUUUCUACCUCUACAACAUUCAUCCCAGCUAAUUCUUUCUAUGAGCCACCACUUCAGCUCAGACCUUCAUUAUUUCUCAUCUAGAAUACUACACUAUCCUUCUAAUUGAUGGCUAUGCCUUUAUCUAGUCUCUCAUCUCCAAACCUUUACUCCACUCUACUUGCCAAAAUAAUUUUUCUUCAGUCUAUAUGUGAACAAGUCACUCCACUACUUAAUAAACUCCAAUAGAAUAAAGUAUUAAUUCCUGUUUAGUUUCUCAAUCCUUUACAAUUUGUCACUAACUAAUCUUUCCAGCCUCAUUGUAUAUUGCUGCUCCUCUCUAACUGUAAUCCAGUCAAAUUAGCCCUCUUACUUCCUCAUCAAAAGCACUAUGCUGAACUUUCCAAUGGCCCCCUCUCAUGGCUGGAAUCCAGACCUUCCUUAUUUCCACUCACAGAAUCCCUCUCUUCUUUCCAGAUCCAAUCAAAUGCCCUUCUACAAGAAGGCUCUCUUUAUUUCCCCAGCUGUUAGUGCCCAUUCUCACUAAUUACUGUGAAUUUCACAAACUUGUAUUUCAUCUUAUCAUCUAUGUACUAUUUGUUUUCCCAAUAUAACUAAAGUUCCUUGAAAGUAGAGAAUGUAUGGGAAGUCAGGAGGAACUGAGUUCAAAUUUGAUCUCAGACACUUAACACUUCCUAGCUGUGGGCCCCUGGGCAAGUCACUAAACCUCAAUUGCCUCCAAAAAAAAAAAAAAAAAAAAAAAAAAUUAAAGAAUGUCCCUGUGAACUCAGUAGAUUUAAGAUUUAAUCAAGCUAGAGGUCCUGCUUCUUAUCUAAACACAAUAUCUAACUCUAUUGGACAGAUGGGGGACAAUGUGGAUGGUCAGGUCAACAAGAAUUUACAUAAAUCAAAUUAUAUAUGUGUGUGUCAAGAACUGGGCUAAGUGCUAGAGAUACAAAGAAAGGCAAAAAAAGAAAGAAAAGUCUCUGUCCUAUCCUAAAGAAGCUUAUAAUGUAAUUGUGAAUUAAGUAACUGGAAUUUGUUUACAUGGUAACUUGUGAAAAAACCAUCUACUAAUAUCACCAUAACUAAUCCCAUCUAUGUUCAAGCAACCAGGCAGAGUGAAUUCAGAGGUCCUGGGUUCAAAUGCUGGUUCUUUUACUCUGUGAUUUUAGAAAAUUCACUCCCCCAUUCUGAGAUUGACUCAGUUUCCUCAUCUAUAAAAUGAUGAUGGCUAGAAUACUUUUUAAAGUGCUUUUAAAUCCACACCAAACAUCCAUGUAUUCCAUUUUUUAAAAAAAUCUUAUAUAAAACAAUUCAUUAUUUUUCAUUUUUGCUCAUAUCUUCUACCUUUGUAAGAAUAAAUGGUUCUGAAUCCAACCAUUCUGGAGAGUAGUUUGGAAUUAUGCUCAAAAAGUUAUCAAACUGUGCAUACCUUUUGAUCCAGCAGUGUUACUACUGGGUUUAUAUCCCAAAGAGAUUAUAAAGAAGGGAAAGGGACCUGUAUGUGCACGAAUGUUUGUGGCAGCCCUCUUUGUAGUAGCUAGAAACUGGAAAAUGAAUGGAUGUCCAUCAGUUGGAGAAUGGCUGAAUAAAUUGUGGUAUAUGAAUAUUAUGGAAUAGUAUUGUUCUGUAAGAAAUGACCAACAGGAUGAUUUCAGAAAGGCCUGGAGAGACUUACACGAACUGAUGCUGAGGGAAAUGAGCAGGACCAGGAGAUCAUUAUCUACUUCAACAACAAUACUAUAUGAUGACCAGUUCUGAUGGACCUGGCCAUCCUCAGCAAGGAGAUCAACCAAAUCAUUUCCAAUGGAGCAGUAAUGAAGUGAACCAGCUAUGCCCAGGGAAAGAACUCUGGGAGAUGACUAAAAACCAUUACAUUGAAUUCCCAAUCCCUAUAUUUAUGCCCACCUGCAUUUUUGAUUUCCUUCACAAGCUAAUUGUACAAUAUUUCAGAAUCUGAUUCUUUUUGUACAGCAAAAUAAAGGUUUGGUCAUGUAUACUUAUUGUGUAUCUAAUUUAUAUUUUAAUAUAUUUAACAUCUACUGGUCAUCCUGCCAUCUGGGGGAGGGGGUUGGGGGUAAGAGGUGAAAAAUUGGAACAAGAGGUUUGGCAAUUGUUAAUGCUGUAAAGUUACCCAUACAUAUAACCUGUAAAUAAAAGGCUAUUAAAUUAACAAAAGAAUAAAUGUUUCUUCAGAGAGGACACAAUCGACUCUGACUAAGGUGUUUGUUGAACCAUCUUUCCCCUUCUCCCUCUUUGUGCUGUAUAAGUAUGUCUUGUAGCAUAAAUAUUAUGUAAUAAGUUUUUUGCAAAACACUUAUACUGAGAUAGUAUACAAAUUAAAAUUCAUUAAUUAAUUGAAAAAAAAAUUUCGAUGAGCUGCAGGUAGUAGUUUAAGGAGAAUAUCAGCUUUGGGUGUUGAUAUUCCCUCCUCCCAGAUGUAGUAUUCAAGGGAAAAGAAGUAAUGGACCAAUUUAAAAUAUUUUAUUUCUUAAAUACCUCUCUUUCUGCCUGUUGAAAUAUACAGAACCCUUCUUUAUUGAAUGGGAGAGACAGGUACUUAACUGAACCUAGGUUGAAAAAGUUAUGUUAAAAAAUUAUCAUAAAAGGAAUACUCUGCUUUUCAACUUCUGUUGUUUUCUCUUAAUCCAGGUAAAACAUAAUGAAAAUAAAUGUAUAAAGAAGAAAAAUAAAAGUUUUCAAGAAAAAAUAAAUGGUUCUUUUCUACACAUUUAGAAAUAAAUCUAAUAAAAUAUUAAAAUUAAUUUUAAUUAAUAAUAUGUCUUAGAGAUUCUUUUUAUUAGAUGUUUGUUGGAAUGGAGAUAUUUAUUAGAAAUAAAUAGCUCACCAAAAUUUAAAGACUGCAUAGUUGCUGAGGUGGAAAUAGACAUUUUGGGGACAUAAAGGACACUUGGGUUUUGUUAAUAUGCUAUAUUGCAACAUGAAACGGGGUUAACAUAAAUCUUAUCAUCAUCACCACGAAGACGGUAAACAUAAAUAUUAUUUUCAGAAAUAAUAUAAAAUUUAUCAUGUGUUCCAUUACCAUUUUUAGAUGUUCAUGAAAAAGCUUUAGUUGAAUGGAAGCCCACAGUUAAGAAAGUUAGAAAAGGAAGCAACUCUUUGCAAUAAUUAAUCUUGUCUUUCAUUUAAAAGAUUGAAAUAUGGUCACCCAUUAGUUGACCGACUCCCUUUAUAGAAGUGUCCCUUGAUAUGUGCUCUGAAAUUCAUGUUCUAGUGAAAAGUUAACUUACAAGGUCAAAUUCCAGUAACAAGAAGAAUCAAUGAACUGCUUCAUUUCUUCGGGUGUGUUUGUUUUAGAAAGAGCUCAGACUUACUUGAAGGGAACAAAGAUGUUAUCAGAGGAGAAACCUGGACAUCAAUAUGGUCAAUAACAACAACAAUAAUAAUAAUGACAACAAAACAAAGAGGAGGACUUAAAAGUUUUCACAGUGUUUUUCACAUAGUUAGGUUCUUUGAUGAAAUUCAGGCAAUUGCCUAGUUUUGUAUAAUUCUUCAUUGCUGAUGGCCAGUCUGAGUUAGGGAGGAAAUCAGUAGGAGAAGGGAAGGGAAAAUACUAACCAAUGAACGCAAAGCAGAGUGGGCAGCUCCUCACCCCCCUCCCCAGCACUUCAUCUAGCCCCAUCCCAUGCUACAUUUUUGUAAGCAUUUUGCUUGAUUUUGUUUGAACUCCUUUUUGUUUUGUUUUGUUUUGACCUUUAAGGUCAAAAAGUUGCUUUCAUUUUAUUUUCUUAAUCAUUUUUUUUUCUUUUUUGAUCUGAUUUUUCUUGUGCAGCAUGAUAAUUGUGGAAAUACGUAUAGAAGAUUUGCACAUGUUUAACAUAUAUUGGAUUAUUUGCCAUCUAGGGGAGGUGUGGAAGGAAGGAAGAGAAAAAAAUUUGGAACACAAGUUUUUGCAAGGGUGAAUGUUGAAAAUUAUUUGUGCAUAUGUUUUGAAGAUCAAAAGCUUUAAUAAAAAAAAUUACAAAAGAAAAGGGGAAAAAAUGGUUUUACUAGAUGAUAAAUUUAAACUGAUCUGUCGCCAGAAGUGAAAGACUGGGUUUAAGUUUAAGUUGUAAACAUCAGGAUUUUACUUGGUCAUGCACUCCCUAGAAAUAAGUUAAGAAUAUGCAAAUCAUUCACAGCUCUAACUCUUCUGCCCUAAACUUUUCCCUAAUGUCUAGUCUUACAUCUCUGACUUUUUGAAAGUGAGCUGGAGUCUCCCAGACAUCUUGAACUCAAUAAGUCUAUAAUUAUUUUCCCACCCCACCUUUCAAACCUUCCCUUCUUUUAACUUCCCAUUAAUGUAGAGAGCACCAUCAUUCUCCCAGUCAGCCAGGCUCCAAACCUACAUGUCAUCCUAUGUUCCUUAUUGCCUCAUAUCCAUCCCUCCUAUCCAAACUGUUGCCACGCCCUGUCAAUUUUCCCUUCAUCUUGCAUAGACACCCCCGUUCUCAAUUCUGAUACUAUAAACACCCUGGUGCAGGUCUUCAUCAAACCUUUAGGCCUGCAAUAUUUCAACUAUUUGCUGGUUCCAUUCAGCUGCCAAAGCAAUCCUCUUAAAGAACAUUCUGGCCAUGUCACACACACCCUAUCCCUGCUCCUAUAAAUCUCAGUGGCUCCGUAUUCUCUCCAAUGUCAAAUAUAAAAUGAUUUGUUUGAUUUUUAAAGACCUUAUAUCCCUCUCCCUUACCUUCUUCCCCCAAAUGAGGUCAGUGACACUGGUCUUCUAGCAGAUAUGGGAUCUGGCUAUCUCACAAACAUCUCACAAGGUAUGGGAUCCCCUAAUUCUGCUAUUUUUACUGACUAUCCACCAUGUCUGGAAUACUUUUACUUUUUAUCCCUGUUUCUUGGCUUCCCUCUCACCUAAAGUCCCAAUUUCUACAAGAAGUCAUCUUAGAUUUCUUUAAACUUAAUGCCUUUUCUCUCUGAUUAUAAUCAUUUUGUACACAUAUAUUUUAUAUAUACAUAUGUGCUAUGUUUUGUACACAUAUAUUCUACAUUUCAUAUGCCCACAUAUCUACACAUAUAUUUAAAUACACACACACAUAUACAUACAUGGGUUGGUCUUACAUCGUCUAAUCCUUUAGCCUGUGAGUUCCUAUAGAGAAGAGACUUUUUCUGCUUUUCUUUGUAUGCCCAGGUCCAUAUAGUAGGAGCUUAAUAAAUGUUUAUUGAGUUGUUGACAGACUCCCUAAAGACGGCCCCAGGAAUAAUCCAGGGAGUUAAUGCCUCCUUUAAAAAAGAAAAACUAACAAAACCUCCCACAGUUUUUCUCCACAAAAGUUUGUUGAUUCAUUGAUAACAAGGCACUAAGCACUUAAUGACUAAUUAGCUAUUAUCUGAAUGGAUGCUUUAGUGUGGAUUGAGGUAGUGAAAAGAACUCUGACCCGAGAGUCUAGAGGGAGUGGCCUUUGAAGACACUAAAACUUUCCUAAAUCUUCUUUUCUUCCUCAGAAAAAUGGGGGAUAACCCCACAAUUUUUGGUACUUAUUUCAUAGGAUUCUAAGGAAGAACACAAAAUGUCCCUGGGUAACACUAAAGUUCUAAAUAAAUGUCAACUUUUAUAAUCAUUGACUGAAAUGAAUUUUUUUCAGUCAAUAAGCAUGAAGAAAUUACCAGGUACUAGACAUUAGAUUGGGAUACCAAAAAAAAAAAAAAAAAAAAAAAAAAAAAAAAAAAAAAAAAAAAAAAAAGAAAAAAAAAAAAAAAAAAAAAAAA